UACGUAGGGGCCGAGCGUUGUCCGGCGUUAUUGGGCGUAAAGCGCGUGUAGGCGGUCCGGUAAGUCCGCUGUGAAAGUCGGGGGCUCAACCCUCGGAUGCCGGUGGAUACUGUCGGGCUUGAGUACGGAAGAGGCGAGUGGAAUUCCUGGUGUAGCGGUGAAAUGCGCAGAUAUCAGGAGGAACACCAAUUGCGAAGGCAGCUCGCUGGGACGUUACUGACGCUGAGACGCGAAAGCGUGGGGAGCAAACAGG
rnacentral:rRNA from 1 species